rnacentral:sRNA from 1 species
AAAUACAAAUGAAAGAGAAAUAAGAACAACAACUCAAAAGCUCAAAAACUCAACAUCACUGAAACUGGAAACCAAGGAUAGGCAAACUCAUGCAGCAACCUGCUUCUCGAACCACUUUUUUAACCUUGCCUUCAUCCUCGCCUCUGGCUCCCAAGUCUCCUCUGUCACACCAUCGCAGUCCCACAAGAUUUUGAUCAAAGGAAUCUUCUUUCACCGAAGUUCCUUGAUCAUGCUCUCGAGAACCCUCACUGGUCUCGCCUCCAAAGUCAUGUUGGUCUGAAGAUCCUCUGUAGUCUUAGCCAACACCUCAUCAUCCUUGUGAAGACACUUCCUCAGCAUCGACACAUGAAAGACCCUGUGAAACGCACGCAUAACAUCAGGCAACUCUAACUUGUAUGCCACUAGUCCCACCCUCUCAACAAUCCUGAACGGACCCAUGUACCUCGGACUCAACUUAGUCUCUGAUAUAGACCUGUUCGGACCUCGCAACAUGGCCAUCUUGAGAUACACUUUGUCCCCAACCUCAAACUCAAGCUCUCUCCUCCUCUUGUCAGCAUAACUCCGUUGUCGAUCCUGAGCUUCCUUCAUGUUCAGCUUAGGAACCUGGAUCCUCUCUGUGGUCUCCUGAACAUAAUCUUCACCAUAUAUGCUCCUCUCCCCACUUGGGUCCAGCAUAACGGUGUCCUGCAUGGCCUCCCGUACAACGCCUCAAAAGGAGCCAUCCCAAUACUCGCCUGAUAGCUGUUGUUAUAAGCAAACUCUACCAGACUCAAGUGAUCCGCCCAAUGACCUCCCCAAUCCAAGACACACAUCCGCAACAUAUCCUCAAGCAUCUGAAUAGUCCUCUCAGAUUGCCCAUUUGUCUGUGGAUGAUAAGCCGUGAUCAUCUGCACCUUAGUGCCCAUCUCUGCCUGAAAAGCUCUCCAAAAUGCAGAAGUAAACUUGGAAUCCCUGUCUGACACAAUACUCACAUGUACUCCAUGCAACUUCACGAUCUCGCUCACAUAUUUCUUAGCAAACACCGCUGCUCCAUCGGUUUUUGUAAUGGCCAGAAAAUGUGCUGACUUAGUCAUACGAUCCACGAUCACCCAGAUAGCAUCUUUGGUCCGCGACACAGGCAACCCAACCACGAAAUUCAUCGUGAUAAAAUCCCACUUCCACACAGGAAUGGGUAAACUCUCCAACAGGCCACCCGGCACCUGAUGCUCAGCCUUAACUAACUGGCAAACAUCGCAUUCUGCGACCCAAUUAGCUACAUCCCUCAUCAUCCCGACCCACUGAUAGUACCGCUUGAGGUCUCGGUACAUCUUAGUCGCUCCUGGAUGAAUGAAAAACAUGCUCGCAUGAGCCUCACUCAAGAUCUCUCGUCGCAACUCCUCAUCCUUAGGCACACAAACUCGCCCAUGCACAAGAAUAGUCCCAUUAGCUGCAAACUGAUACUCAGAGCCCUCUGCCUUAGAAGCCGCAAUCAAUCCCUCAUCCUUCUCCUGAGCCAACCGAACUCUAGUCUGAAGAUCUGCUCGAUCCACAGCUUCCAUUCCCAAUGGCUCUCGUGCCACAGCACACAACCGCAAAGCAUCAAUCUCACUCACCAAGGCCUCAACACUCUGCCCUGUAGCCGCACCCACGCGCUUACGGCUCAACGCGUCUGCAACCACAUUAGCCUUCCCAUGAUGGUAGGCUAUCUCCAGAUCAUAAUCACCCACCAGCUCCAUCCAUCGCCUCUGCCUCAGGUUCAGCUCUGGCUGAGUGAAGAUGUACUUCAAACUCUUAUAAUCCGUGAACACCUGCACUUUCCUGCCAUAAAGAUAAGACCUCCAAAUCUUCAAGGCAAAGAUUACCGCAGCCAUCUCCAAAUCGUGAGUAGGAUAGUUGCCCUCAUGCUUCCUCAACUACCGCGAUGCAUAGGCAAUAACCUUCCAUGCUCUGGCAAUUCUAACACUGGUGUACUCGUCAACAUCUCCUUCAGACUCACGAAACUUUUCUCGCACUCCGGUGACCACACAAAAGGAACAUCCUUCCCUUUCAGCUUAGUCAUCGGCUGUGCCAUACUCGCAAACCCCUUGAUGAACCUCCUGUAAUACCCUGCCAACCCAAGAAAAUUCCUGAUCUCAGUGGCAUUCGUCGGUCUAGGCCAAUCUCUGAUAGCCUCAAUCUUCUCUAGAUCUACUGAAACUCCCUCUACAGAAACAAUGUGACCCAGAAAACCCAUCUCUCUCUGCCAGAAACUGCACUUGCUCAACUUAGCGAACAGCUUCAGCUCCCGCAGUUUCUCCAUCACUCUCCUUAGAUAAACCUCAUGCUCCUCAAGACUCUUAGAAUACACCAGGAUGUCAUCAAUAAAGAUGAUCACAAACUCAUCCAGAAACUCCUGGAACACGCUGUUCAUCAACCUCAUGAACGCUGCAGGUGCAUUAGUCAAACCGAAAGGCAUGACCAUGAACUCAAAAUAUCCAUAUCUCGUCCUGAAAGCAGUCUUGCAAACAUCUGUCUCUGCUAUCGGGAUCUGGUGAUAACCCGACAUCAAAUCGAUUUUAGAGAAACAAGUAGCACCCCUCAACUGAUCCAACAACUCAUCGAUCCUUGGCAAAGGGUACCUGUUUUUUCACAGUAACCCGGUUCAACCCCCGGUAGUCAAUACAUAAGCAGAAACUCCCGUCUUUCUUCUUCACAAAUAACACCGGCGUUCCCCAAGGUGAAGUACUAGGACGAAUGAAUUCCUUACCCAACAAAUCCUCUAGCUGCUUCUUCAACUCUGCCAUCUCUGCUGGAGCCAUCCUGUAGGGUGCCUUAGACAACGGCGAUGUCCCUGGUUCCAACUCAAUCGUGAAAGGAUCAGACCGUCAUGGUGGUAAUCCCUGCAACGAUCGAAACACAUCCUCGAACUCCUGAACAACCCGAAUAUCGCUCACAGCUACCUGCCCCACAGACUCCGGCAUAGAUAUCAUCACCAGGUAAGCCUCGCAGCCCUUCUCGAUCAUUUUCUCUUCCUGCACUACUGAGAUGACGAGACUCCUUGAGGUACGUCUCACUCCCUGAUAAACCAACCUCCCCUCUAGCCGCUCAAAAGAAACUCUCCCACGGUGGGAGUCAAGAUGUACUCUGUAAUGAUCCAACCAAUCCAUUUCCAGAAUAACAUCAUACAACUCUACAGGGCUGAUAAUCAAAUCUGCUGGCAUCGACUCCCCUGCAAUCUAAAUAUCCACACCCUUCGCUCUCCCCAUAACCGCUAGAAACUGCCCUCCUGCAACCUUGACGGCUCCAAACUGCUCACCAGGAUCCCCACGGUUGUUGCCGCGCGAGGCACUUUUUCCGGUGUAAUGAAGCAAUGCGAUGCUCCAGAGUCAAACAACACAUGGGCCUCUACACCGCCCACUAAUAAGGUCCCUACAAAAACCUUAUGUGCUAAGAAUCCUAACAUUCAUCACAAAACAAUGAUUUCCAAAACAACAGAAAUAAUUCACAAUGUCUGAGUCUAAGAAAUCAUACCAGUGAUCGCUCUGUUGCUGAUACUGCUUAUCUCACGCGUAGUGUAGCCUUGUGGUGCCGCUACAAUCUGUGCUAACUGCUGCACUCCCUGCUGCACCGCCGGCUGUACUACUGCCACUGCCAUCGGCUGCAAUUUAGGACAAUUCGGCCUGAGAUGUCCCCUCUCCUUGCAGUGGUAGCACUCUCUUGUCUCAGCUCGCUGCGUGCAAUCCGCUACCUUGUGGUCAAGGCUCCCACAAGAAAAACAUCUUGCACGACCACCCUGUCCAGCUCUGGAAGGAUGAUCCCACUUCCUCUUCUGCCCCUGCUCAGGCUUACCGCCCUUGCUAGGUGCCACCUGCUGCUGAGUCUUCUUUGGCUGUACCGCUGGACUCACUGCCACCACCUGCCUCUGAAGGUCCUCCUCUACCUCAGCAGCCGUCUCCACCAGUGCCACCUUCGUGGCGUACUACAACACUCUACACCGCACCCUUAAAUCCGGUCGAAGUCCCCUCAAGAACCUCCUCAUCUGGGCCUGGUUAUCCUCCAUGCCCCGACCCGCAUACACCAAGUGUUGGUUAAACUCCCAGUCAUACUCCCGAACCGACCGCUCACCAUGUGUCAGCUCAAGAAAACGCUCCUUUAUACGGUCGAGCGCCUCCUGCGGAAAGUACUUGGCAUUAAACUCAGCCACGAAAUCUGUCCAAGAUAUAUCCGCCUGCCUCCUCCUGGUAGUCAUACUCCGCCACCAUAAAUGUACAUCCCCCUCUAGAAAAUGCACUACCAGAUCCACCCGAUAGUCCGCAGGGCAUCUCCUCGAACCGAAGUUCCACUCAACCCGCGACCUCCAACUGUCGGCCUCCUCAGGACUAGUACUACCAAAAAAAUACUCGCUGCCAAUCCUCUGCAACUGCUCCAUCAUCCUCAAAUAAGAUGGAACCUCAUCAGCAACCGCAGCCCUCUACUGCACCUCUGCCACUCAUGGCGCAACUGGAGCCUCCACUGGUACCACGUAUGGUAACCGCUCAAACAAUUGCCUCAGCAUGCCCGCCAAACCAACGUCUGGAACCUGGGCUCCUCCGGUUGCGGUACCCAUCACUCUUGGGCUCUCAGCACCAACGGCAUGCACACCGACACCGACACCUGCUCCACCAGCCCCCACUCCGGCUGCACCAGCUAGAUCGGCACCAAAACCGUCCCCAACCCCGGGCUCCACAAACUCAGCCUGCAAACCCACACUCUGCUCAACCGUGGCACUGUGGCCAUCACUCUCGCCGGUACCCUCGAGGACUCGUCCUCUUUUUAUCACGAAACUGCAAAUAACUCAUUCAAUUUUAAUCCAAAUCCAAUUCUGUAAACUGGAGAAUAACGAUAAAGGACUUGGGAAUAACUCUACCAAAUUUCGUUACCUUUGACCACGAUUUGAUAUGACGAAACUGAUUUCUCCUAUACCCUAACGAUUCUGCUCCUUCUCCUUCUCUCUCUUUUUCUCUUUUAUAAAACGAAAGUGGCUAAUUAAAGCCCUAAUUUAGAGUUUCCUUCUUUUAUAGGCACACUCUAAGGUUUCCAAUUAACUAAACCAAUUAAAUCAGACGAUUUAAAUACAAACUCUAACCAAUUUUCCGGUUCACGGGCGUUACACUAAUCGAAAUCGAUCACGAAACCCUCAUUCCCCAUAUUGAAUUCCUCCAAAUGAACCACUCUAUAAACCCUAAUGUUCUUCCCCAAAUCGAUUUUUCCCCCAAAUCUAUUUUAUCUCCAAAUCUAUUUUUUCAAUGCCAUGUCGUUUUUGUUAUAUUAAACGGCACAAAACUAAUGAAAUCAUACCGUUUUUAGCGAUGCCAUGUCAUUGAUAUGACGGAAGAUUAUUUAGCGGGUGACUUUAAAAUUGAUGUGGUUGACUUGCAUAGUUGGGACAUGGAUGGUAGAUUCGCAAACGAGAUCGACUUCGAGGUUUUUUUUUGCAGAAAACCCUUAUUAAAAAAAACAAAGCCUAUCAACGAAAUUACAUGUUUUCUUACUCUAUCAUAAUUUAGCCUUAUUUGUAUUAAAUUUUAUAAUCAUAGUAACAUAGACAUAUACAGGGGCGGAUCCAUGUAGGGAAAAGAGGAGCAGCUGCCCCGGGUAAAUUAUCAAAUUUCUAGAUUUUCAUUGAUUUUAAUAAAGAUUUGUUAGCUUAAAUGGAAAUUUGAACCAACUUUCCCCCUAUAAACUCAAAAUCAAAUCCCAUAAUGCCCUUUUAAUUUUUUUCAUUUAUUCUUUUCUUUCCUUUUUUUUUAUUAACUUCCCUAAAUUUUAGCUUUUAUUGUUUAUUUUUCCUCUAAUAUAAACGUCUCAUUUCCAGAUUUUAUAUAAUUUCCAAUUUGUUUAGAUUUGUUUUUUCUUUAUUUAUUUAUUUAGUUUUCUCUCAAAAUCUUUUUAUUGUUGCAUUUUAUUGGUUUAUUUCUAAAAUUUUUGUUUUUUGUUAUUCGAAAAGUUAUACAUAUUCUCUAACUAAUAUAUUUUCCCAGAAUUAAUUUAUUUUAAUAACUUACGACAUAUAAUAUCAUCUCUAACCUAUUUAGAAAUAUAAAUAACAAUAAUAAAGUAACAAUAUUAAAAAGUACAUAAUAAAUUAUUUUUAUCUUUAAAAGUCGAUAUAAUAUUUUGCCCCUGG